UCUCUUAAAAAAAAUAAUAAUAAUAUUUAUUUAGGCACAUGAAAGAGGCAAACGAACAGCCAUUUCCAAUUGCAGUCCAAUCGCCUUCUCCACUCUCCAGACCUGAGAACACAUUCCAAUCCAGAAUUUAUCCCUAAAACCUACUCCAAUCCGGAAUUAAUCUCCAAAAACCAUUACUCUACUAGUCUACCACUGCAAAAGUUCCGACGAAAUCCAGAGGACCAGAGGUUGAGCUGCUUCAGCACGUUCGCACAUAGAGAGUUCGCACUUCACAAACUACUAAGGUCUCGCAAAUUUGGAGGUUGGUUUCCAUUUAUUUUAGGAAACUGAAAACCCUUGAUUCCUUGAAAAUCUUUCCAUGACUUUCGUUUUUAUUGGGGUUUUAAGAUUAAAAUACCCAAAAUCUUCUUCACAUAAAUAGAGCAAAGAAAAAUCUUAACAAGAAUUAAACAACUAAUGCCAUCACCUCGAAAUCUCUAAGUUUCACUUUCUCAAUUCCAAAAUCAUGAGCAUAUUACAGAUUUACAUAUUGCAGUCGCCAGUCGGUGUCGGUAUACCUGUGUUUGUGUAUGUUAUGAUAAAAAUUAAAAUUUAAAAAGUACCUGACCGAGAAUCAGAAAUGGGUCUUUGCUUAAUUUGAAGAACGGUAUGUUGAUCUGCAAUUUUGCAACAAAUUUGAAGUAAAAAAAAAAAAAAAGAAAAGAAGAAUUGAUGAGUGAUGAAUGCAAGCUUGGACUCCGCCACUACGGAUUACAGAAACUAGACUUCAGUCUUUAGUCUUCUGGUUGCAAUAAUUUUAGGAAUUUUUCAAUAAGUAUUAUUAUAUUGAGUAGUAGAUAUAAGGGAUGAUAUGUGGGGUCCAGGGUAUUAAGAGAUUUUGGGAAAAAUAUUAAUAUACAUUUUUGUGUUUUAGGCCUGAAAUGGUGAUAAACGUGUCCACAGAAAAGUGUAAUUUCAUAUUGACAACUCCUCCAAAGGAUAUAAAAAGUAUGACAACAUAUGAUAAGAAUGCGAUAUUAUUUCACAUUUUUUCAUUUUGUAAAAUUGUUAGCCAAACAAAAACUGAUUAAAAUUUUCUAUUCAAUUUGAAUAAAUUGAAGCUUAUUUCACAUUUUUCCGUUUCGUAAAGUUAUUGCAUAUUGAGAUUAAGAUCCAAAAAUGCAUUUUCUUUUUUAAAAGCUUAUUCUAUCCUUUUUUUUGGGUGUGUGAUCUAUUCUCUCUUUGUUUUGUUCAUUUCUUGGUUGCAGCAGAAUUGCUUGAUAAUCAGACUCUGCGUUUUCGACUGCAACCUCUACGGCCGCAUUGUCUACUUCAAUCACCACGCGACUACCACUACCACCAAUUUCUGAAUCCUUUCAUUUUGGGGACUCAUCAAUCAGGUUUUAUUGCUCUUUGUUUAUUAUUAUGUUUACAAGAAAAUUUGAAUCUGGAUGUGCCAAAAGGAAAAGGAAGGAAAAAGUUGAAAGGUUGAUUAAAUCUCAAGAGGGAGUACUUGAUAAGUUUUUUAAUUGUAGUAAACAAACACCUAAUGAAGACGUAGUUACUAAAGAAGUAUUUAAUGAGAAUGAUAACAGAAAUAAUACAAUUGAGGAAGAAUAUUGUGUGAUGAAUGAAGAGGUAUCUCUUGACAGAGAUAAUGAACCAUUUUGUGUCGAGGGGGCUCCAUAAUAAUUAAACGCCUAGGGCCUCUAAAUUCUCAGGGCCGGCCCUGCCCCCACCAC
rnacentral:lncRNA from 1 species